AAGAGAUAAGCAUAAAUAUUGGUGGUGCAGCUAGCUUGAAACUAGGGGGAGGGGGUUCAAGUCCCUCAUCUCUUG
rnacentral:tRNA from 1 species